GUUGCAGGGUAUAGACCCGAAACCCGGUGAUCUAGCCAUGGGCAGGUUGAAGGUUGGGUAACACUAACUGGAGGACCGAACCGACUAAUGUUGAAAAAUUAGCGGAUGACCUGUGGCUGGGGGUGAAAGGCCAAUCAAACCGGGAGAUAGCUGGUUCUCCCCGAAAGCUAUUUAGGUAGCGCCUCGUGAAUUCAUCUCCGGGGGUAGAGCACUGUUUCGGCUAGGGGGCCAUCCCGGCUUACCAACCCGAUGCAAACUGCGAAUACCGGAGAAUGUUAUCACGGGAGACACACGGCGGGUGCUAACGUCCGUCGUGAAGAGGGAAACAACCCAGACCGCCAGCUAAGGUCCCAAAGUCAUGGUUAAGUGGGAAACGAUGUGGGAAGGCCCAGACAGCCAGGAUGUUGGCUUAGAAGCAGCCAUCAUUUAAAGAAAGCGUAAUAGCUCACUGGUCGAGUCGGCCUGCGCGGAAGAUGUAACGGGGCUAAACCAUGCACCGAAGCUGCGGCAGCGAACGUAUCACU
rnacentral:rRNA from 1 species